rnacentral:rRNA from 1 species
AACGAGUUCUCGUUGAUGAUCGGUGCUUGCACCGAGAUUCACAUGGAACGAGUGGCGGACGGGUGAGUAACACGUGGGUAACCUGCCCUUAAGUGGGGGAUAACAUUUGGAAACAGAUGCUAAUACCGCAUAGAUCCAAGAACCGCAUGGUUCUUGGCUGAAAGAUGGCGUAAGCUAUCGCUUUUGGAUGGACCCGCGGCGUAUUAGCUAGUUGGUGAGGUAAUGGCUCACCAAGGCGAUGAUACGUAGCCGAACUGAGAGGUUGAUCGGCCACAUUGGGACUGAGACACGGCCCAAACUCCUACGGGAGGCAGCAGUAGGGAAUCUUCCACAAUGGACGCAAGUCUGAUGGAGCAACGCCGCGUGAGUGAAGAAGGCUUUCGGGUCGUAAAACUCUGUUGUUGGAGAAGAAUGGUCGGCAGAGUAACUGUUGUCGGCGUGACGGUAUCCAACCAGAAAGCCACGGCUAACUACGUGCCAGCAGCCGCGGUAAUACGUAGGUGGCAAGCGUUAUCCGGAUUUAUUGGGCGUAAAGCGAGCGCAGGCGGUUUUUUAAGUCUGAUGUGAAAGCCCUCGGCUUAACCGAGGAAGCGCAUCGGAAACUGGGAAACUUGAGUGCAGAAGAGGACAGUGGAACUCCAUGUGUAGCGGUGAAAUGCGUAGAUAUAUGGAAGAACACCAGUGGCGAAGGCGGCUGUCUGGUCUGUAACUGACGCUGAGGCUCGAAAGCAUGGGUAGCGAACAGGAUUAGAUACCCUGGUAGUCCAUGCCGUAAACGAUGAAUGCUAGGUGUUGGAGGGUUUCCGCCCUUCAGUGCCGCAGCUAACGCAUUAAGCAUUCCGCCUGGGGAGUACGACCGCAAGGUUGAAACUCAAAGAAUUGACGGGGGCCCGCACAAGCGGUGG